rnacentral:rRNA from 1 species
GGACUACUCGGGUAUCUAAUCCUGUUUGCUCCCCUAGCUUUCGUUCCUCAGCGUCAGUUGCGGUCCAGCGAGCCGCCUUCGCCACGGGUGUUCCUACAGAUAUCUACGCAUUUCACCGCUACACCUGUAAUUCCACUCGCCUCUCCCGCACUCGAGCACGGCAGUUUCGGAAGCAGCCUCUGAGUUAAGCCCAGAGAUUUCACUCCCGACACACCGCACCGCCUACGAACCCUUUACGCCCAGUAAUUCCGAGCAACGCUGGCCCCCUACGUCUUACCGCGGCGGCUGGCAC